UAAGGUAAACAUUGGGACACUAAGCAC
rnacentral:piRNA from 1 species